rnacentral:ncRNA from 1 species
GCGUCUGCGUAAUACGUGAGUAUUAUGAAAAAAUAUUGGGUGAAUUGCAAGGAUCUCUUAUUAAUAUGGGUGAGAUAAAUUAAUAAGACAAUUUGCAGCUAAGCCUUGAUCGGCGUAUAUAAAUAAAAAUAUAGAUCAAGGAAAGUUCAACGACUAAUCGGUGAGUUACGUCAACAAUAAUCCGGAGACGAGCGCCCAACAUCUAUAUUUUUUAAUUAAUUAAUUAGUAAGAAUAGAUGAAGACAUAGUCUAAACUAGAUAGUGAUAUCUAG